rnacentral:ribozyme from 13 species
UCACGGAAAGGAGUAAAGAGAUGAGAAGGAGAAAUCCCAAGGAAUCCUUCUGCUAAAAGAGUUCCAUGACGAAAGCAACGAAGAGCGAACAUACUGUGUUUUGCUUUUCAAGAAGCAAACUCUUCUUUUCUUUUCUUUUUCUUUUCUUUUUCUUUUCUU